rnacentral:tRNA from 1 species
GGUGGCUCAGUGGUAGAGUGCUUGCCUUGCAUGCAUGAGGCCCUGGGUUUGAUGACUCAGCACCA